rnacentral:ribozyme from 1 species
AAUGCAGCUCAAGGCCACAGCAGAAGCACUUACGGUGCAGCCCUCUCAGAUUCCAGUGAACCUGAGAAUUCUGCU